rnacentral:rRNA from 1 species
UGGGGAAUCUUGGACAAUGGGCGCAAGCCUGAUCCAGCCAUGCCGCGUGAGUGAAGAAGGCCUUCGGGUUGUAAAGCUCUUUUUGUCAGGGACGAUAAUGACGGUACCUGAAGAAUAAGCCCCGGCAAACUUCGUGCCAGCAGCCGCGGUAAUACGAAGGGUGCAAGCGUUACUCGGAAUUACUGGGCGUAAAGCGUGCGUAGGUGGUUUGUUAAGUCUGAUGUGAAAGCCCUGGGCUCAACCUGGGAAUUGCAUUGGAUACUGGCAGGCUAGAGUGCGGUAGAGGAUGGCGGAAUUCCCGGUGUAGCAGUGAAAUGCGUAGAUAUGUGGAGGAAUACCGAUGGCGAAGGCAGCCCCCUGGGCUAACACUGACGCUCAUGCACGAAAGCGUGGGGAGCAAACAGGAUUAGAUACCCCUGUAGUCCCUGAGCGGGCUGGCAAGGCGCAU